rnacentral:rRNA from 1 species
GAUGAACGCUGGCGGCGUGCCUAAUACAUGCAAGUCGAGCGAACAGACGAGGAGCUUGCUCCUCUGACGUUAGCGGCGGACGGGUGAGUAACACGUGGAUAACCUACCUAUAAGACUGGGAUAACUUCGGGAAACCGGAGCUAAUACCGGAUAAUAUAUUGAACCGCAUGGUUCAAUAGUGAAAGACGGUUUUGCUGUCACUUAUAGAUGUAUCCGCGCCGCAUUAGCUAGUUGGUAAGGUAACGGCUUACCAAGGCAACGAUGCGUAGCCGACCUGAGAGGGUGAUCGGCCAAACGGGAAGUGAGAAACGGAAAAGAAACCUACGGGAGGAAGAAGUAGGGAAUAUUCCGCAAUGGGGGAAAGCAUGACGGAGCAACGCCGAGGGAGAGAUGAAGGUAUUCGGAUCGUAAAACUCUGUUAUUAGGGAAGAACAAAUGUGUAAGUAACUAUGCACGUCUUGACGGUACCUAAUCAGAAAGCCACGGCUAACUACGUG